AGAUACCUGGGAACACUGGAAGCAUAGCACGAACUUGCUCAGCAUCAGCUGUUGGACUGCACCUAGUUGAGAUAUGUUGUCGUCAAAGUGCAUCAGUCCUGGGAUGAAUUCUGCGAGUAUUUCAGGGGACAGGCUAGGGAAAAGAGGUUGUUGGCAUUUAUAAAGAGAGGAACAACUACACAUUCAG